GGGCCCAGUGUGCCAUGGCUGCAAACAGUAGCCUCCUUGGUAGUGUAUGCAGCCUGUUGAUUGUAUGGGUUGCCCUAAGGGACCUUGGAGACAGCC
rnacentral:snoRNA from 1 species